AACGAACGCUGGCGGCAGGCUUAACACAUGCAAGUCGAGCGCCCCGCAAGGGGAGCGGCAGACGGGUGAGUAACGCGUGGGAAUCUACCGUACCCUACGGAAUAGCUCCGGGAAACUGGAAUUAAUACCGUAUACGCCCUACGGGGGAAAGAUUUAUCGGGGUAUGAUGAGCCCGCGUUGGAUUAGCUAGUUGGUGGGGUAAAGGCCUACCAAGGCGACGAUCCAUAGCUGGUCUGAGAGGAUGAUCAGCCACAUUGGGACUGAGACACGGCCCAAACUCCUAAGGGAGGGAGCAGUGGGGAAUAUUGGACAGUGGGCGCAAGCCUGAUCCAGCCAUGCCGCGUUAGUGAUGAAGGUCUUAGGAUUGUAAAGCUCUUUCACCGAUGAAGAUAAUGACGGUAGUCGGAGAAGAAGCCCCGGCUAACUUCGUGCCAGCCGCCGCAGUAA
rnacentral:rRNA from 1 species